CAGACCUCUAUUUAAAGCUCCUGUUCCAAGAACUUGUCCUUCAGCAAAUGUCCUGCAUCCCUAGAAGUCUCAAAGGGGGCUAGGAGCUGAGAGAAGGAUGCUAGAGAUCAAGAGGAGCACUUCUGUAAUGGGUUCUGACAGCGUUUAUCAAAUCCACAGCUCUUGCCAUGCUGCAUCCCCCAGAAAUGAAGGUUUCAUCAUCCAAGAGCUGAUUCUGAGGAUGACAGCUUCCAAGAUGUCUCAAAAAGAGAACACCAAACUCUGUUCUUGGGCUACUUGAAAAGAAUUCUGACCUCU